rnacentral:rRNA from 1 species
AUUGAACGCUGGCGGCAGGCCUAACACAUGCAAGUCGAGCGAGCGGCGGACGGGUGAGUAAUGUCUGGGAAACUGCCUGAUGGAGGGGGAUAAAUCCUGGAAACGGUAGCUAAUACAGCAUACCAUCAGAGAUGCCCAGAUGGGAGUAGCUGGUAGGUGGGGGAACGGCGCACCUAGGCGACGCUCCCUAGCUGGGCUGAGAGGAUGACCAGCCACACUGGAACUGAGACACGGUCCAGACUCCUACGGGAGGCAGCAGUGGGGAAUAUUGCACAAUGGGCGCAAGCCUGAUGCAGCCAUGCCGCGUGUGUUAAGAAGGCCUUCGGGUUGUAAAGCACUUUCAGCGGGGAGGCGUUACCCGCAGAAGAAGCACCGGCUAACUCCGUGCCAGCAGCCGCGGUAAUAC